rnacentral:ncRNA from 4 species
AAAUUGAAGAGUUUGAUCAUGGCUCAGAUUGAACGCUGGCGGCAGGCCUAACACAUGCAAGUCGAGCGGUAGCACAGAG